rnacentral:rRNA from 1 species
GAUGAACGCUGGCGGCGUGCCUAAUACAUGCAAGUCGAGCGAACGGACGAGAAUCUUGCUUCUCUGAUGUUAGCGGCGGACGGGUGAGUAACACGUGGAUAACCUACCUAUAAGACUGGGAUAACUUCGGGAAACCGGAGCUAAUACCGGAUAAUAUUUUGAACCGCAUGGUUCAAAAGUGAAAGACGGUCUUGCUGUCACUUAUAGAUGGAUCCGCGCUGCAUUAGCUAGUUGGUAAGGUAACGGCUUACCAAGGCAACGAUGCAUAGCCGACCUGAGAGGGUGAUCGGCCACACUGGAACUGAGACACGGUCCAGACUCCUACGGGAGGCAGCAGUAGGGAAUCUUCCGCAAUGGGCGAAAGCCUGACGGAGCAACGCCGCGUGAGUGAUGAAGGUCUUCGGAUCGUAAAACUCUGUUAUUAGGGAAGAACAUAUGUGUAAGUGACUGUGCACAUCUUGACGGUACCUAAUCAGAAAGCCACGGCUAACUACGUG